rnacentral:lncRNA from 1 species
UCUGCAGCUGAUACCAAUUCCCGAUAGGGAAUUUGUCCUCUAGUUUUAUAAGAUGUUCCCAUCGAGAGAAACUGCUUAAAAAAAUACAGGAGAACCCUCUCCUAGGUCUGACUACGGUACGUAAAUCUACAAUCAUCACAAUGUAAAAAGUUUACAUGUAAACUUACAGGAGAAUUGAAAUUUACCACAAAUCUCCAAUUGAGUCUACUGUGCUCUAGCACACCGAAAUUCUGAGGGUCUAAGCAUGUGUUUGGAGUUCACGGAGUUCCCACUGGGGCUCAGCAGGAUAAGAACCUGACUAGUAUGCAUGAAGAAACAGGUUCAAUCCUUGGCCUGACUCGGUGGGUUAAGGGCCUGGCAUUGCUGCAAGCUGCGGCUUAGGUGGUAGAUGCGGCUGGGAUCUGGUGUGGCUGUGGCAGGGGCAUAGGCCUGCAGCUGCGGCUCCAAUUGAAUCCUUAGUCUGGGAACUUUCAUAUGCUGCACCUGUAGCCAUAAAAAGGAAAAAAAUAAUAAUAAUUACAGUUCACAAAACUGCUGGCUUUGAUCCUCUUGUCCCUUCCAACUCAGUAGCCUGGAAACCUCCCAUAGCUCUAUCUUAAGAUCUGUGCUUUUCUGUGGCACUUUCUCCCCUCCUCAUUGUUCAGGGUUCAUUAGAUAAAACUGUCCCAAACUCCUGCUGAGAGAUGAUCUAUUGUGAGAUAGCUUUGUGAGGCAGAACACAGGAAACCUCAGGGUCUUAUCUCCUGUGAGCCGUCUGUUUUUCCCCAACAGCCCAAUAAAGGAGACUCCUCAGCUGGCAGGGAGUGGUUGGGAAGGCAGACACGGUCCCCAGACCCCUGACCCCACCCUCCACGGCCCUCUCUGUCGCAGACGUCGUAAAAUGUCUCUCUCCUCAUCAUGGAUCAAAGCUGUUUUCAUCAUUUCCUUGGCAGGACCUCUUCAUUCUGGUGAGUAGAUUUUCAUCUGCAGUGAAACAUGUUACAUAUCUUAGAAAGUGCAGGAAAAAGUUCUGUAAUCCAGGAAUGGAGGAGCUUGUGUUUUAUUGGGUUU